rnacentral:rRNA from 1 species
GAGCUACCGCUAUUGGAGUUCGAUUAAGCCAUGCGAGUCGAGAGUCCUCGGGACUCGGCGUACCGCUCAGUAACACGUGGGUAACCUGCCCUAUGCUGGGGAAUAACCUCGGGAAACUGAGAAUAAUGCCCCAUAGCCCACUACGCCUGGAACGGUGAGUGGGUCAAAGCCCCGGCGGCAUAGGAUGGGCCUGCGCCGUAUCAGGUUGUAGGGGGUGUAAAGUACCCUCUAGCCAUCAACGCGUACGGGUGUUGGGAGACAUUGCCCGGAGAUGGAUUCUGAGACACGAAUCCAGACCCUACGGGGUGCAGCAGGCGCGAAAACUUGGCAAUGCGAGAAAUCGUGACCAGGGAACUCCAAGUGCGUAGGGUAAGACCUACGCUUUUCUUGACUCUUCAAAGGUCUUGGAAUAAGGGGUGGGUAAGGACGGUGCCAGCCGCCGCGGUAAUACCGGCGCCUCAAGUGGUAGUCGCUUUUAUUGGGCCUAAAACGUCCGUAGCCGGUCUGGUGCAUUCGUGGGUAAAUCAACCCGCUCAACGGGUUGAAUUCUGCGAGCACGGCCAGACUUGGGACCGGGAGAGGUGUGGGGUACUCUCAGGGUAGGGGUAAAAUCCUGUCAUCCUGAGAGGACCACCUGUUGCGAAGGCGCCACACUAGAACGGAUCC